rnacentral:rRNA from 1 species
UACGUGGGGGGCAAGCGUUGUCCGGAAUUAUUGGGCGUAAAGAGCGUGUAGGCGGUCCGGUAAGUCAGCUGUGAAAGUCAAGGGCUCAACCCUUGAAUGCCGGUUGAUACUGUCGGGCUAGAGUCCGGAAGAGGCGAGUGGAAUUCCCGGUGUAGCGGUGAAAUGCGCAGAUAUCGGGAGGAACACCAAUGGCGAAGGCAGCUCGCUGGGACGGUACUGACGCUGAGACGCGAAAGCGUGGGGAGCAAACAGG